ensembl:lncRNA
CCUGCUCAGAUACACAUACCCGGUGCUGUGAUGACAACUGUCGUCAGUGAUUUUGUACCUCACAAAGACUCUUUGAUCAAGAAAACAGCGUAUUUAUCGUUGGCAGCCAAUGCUUACAGUAAGCGUGUUUUAAAAUCAAAUUCUUGUUUAAUGAAGGGGAACACUGUGUUUGUCUUUUGAUAUUCUGAACCUGGAUUCAUCACUGCUUAGAGUACAUGACAGACUUUGAAAAACAAAGCUGCUAUGGCUUUCCUUUCUGUGCUACUGAUACCGGGACUGCAAAUAUUAUGAAGUUAUCCCUGGAGGAGUUAGAGCAGUGGUGGUAAAGGCAAUACCUUUCAAUCUUUACUUUAAAAUUCUGCAUGUGUGUAGCCACGGUCUAUAGUUUUAUUUGGAGGAGAGUAUAUGGUUCUGCUAAGCCAUGCUCACAGUGAUAUAUCUGAAAUGAAAGAAUUUAUCGAAACAUUUUUGAAGUCAGAAAAAUUAUAAAGAGAAAAUAGGAUCCCAGAGAACCCUGUCCAUCAAGUGGUAAACCUUUAACUGAAAGUGGCAUAUCCAGAAAGUAAGUAAACAAAAACCAGAAGUGUUAAGAAAAUAGAAACAUUGGUGGCUCUGUCCUCCAGUUUAGAAGAAAAUACAUCGCAGUGACUACAGCCUGACACCAAAGGGAUUUCCCUUAAAAUUACCAGUAGAAAAAUAGCUGAUAAUGAUGGUCUCUGGACUUCCAAAGUUCUGUUUCAGAAGUCUUUACAAUACAAUUAUACCAAUUAGAGCUGUUAUUCUUCAGUCAGAGGCUGUUGACAUGAACGUAGACCCAUCAAGGACUUCCUGGGACAAUGAUGCUACUCUUUUCCUAAUGCAGUGGAUGUUGAAGAGUCCUAUAAAUCCACCACAAAGUGGAAUGGAUCCCGGCAUGGCUCAUCUUCCAGCAUCGGACCUGCACUGCAAUUUUAGUUCUCAAACGCAGCAUCACAUCAGGGACCAUCAGCGGGGCGUUGCAGUUUGAGCUCCGGACAGAAGAGGGGGCCCUUCGGAUGGCCAGAAGGAAAAGCUCGGCCAGAUGUGGACCAGCUGCAGCCCCAGAGCGCCUCCUGCUCCAGGGCCCCGUGCUACCGACCGCAGUAUGGAGCGAGCAGGGGGCUUGCUGGAGAUAGGAAUCCCAAGGACGGCGUGCUGGGAGCGAGAUACGCGGUUAAUAUUUCUGCUCCACUCCAAAGGUGGCUGAGACGGUAUAGAUUUAAUGCUCGAUACUUGCUCUGGAGCCUCCAUGCUGUUUAAAUCUGCACUAUGGAAGGUUGUGGCUUAUUCAGUCAAGGUUGUAUCUUGUAAACCACCCGAGGAACAAAUUCCAUGCAAGGUUGCCUGCGUGCAAAUAUGAUUUUUGACACAAACUGCUGGAUUCCCUGACGUUUCUACUUCUACCUCAGGUAAAUUUGUAUCGGCUGCACUGAACAAGCAAAAAUGCUUCCACACUGUAAAACACUCCCAUAACAUUGAUUCAAGAUUGAUCACUUGCACGAGGUAGUUCAGAGAGUAGUUAUAGCUGCGCAAAACCUUUUAUUCAGGGUUAGAAUUUGACCUAGCGUGAUAACCAGGCAAUAAAAUGGGAGUCGGCUGUCAAUUUCAGGAGAAAUAAGGCAUCACCAGAGCUUAAAGAUCUGCUUCAUAACAUUUCUAUCAAAUAAAUCAUAUCUCCUGAGUGGAUAUUUCCACAAUUCUUGACAAGGAAGAAAGAAAAUAUUGUCUUUGCCUAGAUCUGGUGAAGUGAAAUAAAGCUGUAAUGAUUGCUAGCCAACCACAUCUACACACAGAAUUAAUGCAAGCACUCAGUGUGCAGAGAUGUUUUAAAAUCUUGAUUUACAGUCUGUGUUUUGUAAAUUAACAGAAUCCUCACAGCCCUCACAUGAUCUUCAUCGACCAAUUCUGUGUUUGAAACACAUGCCAUAUGUUUGAAACUGACCCUAAUUCUUCUGGAGAAAGGAGUGGUUGGUGUUUUCAGGAAGCAGCCUGGAAUCCAGUGCCAGCUGGUGAGUCAUUAAAUAAGGAGAAUAACAUUUACAGGACGUAAUACAAUAUAUCAGUUUAGCAGAACUGAAAUUUAACUUUCUCAAAUGCCACUUCAGAUAAACAGAAUGUAGUCUUUCUCCACUGGAACUGGACCAGGUGCAGAAUAAGCUGCUAUAAUUAUGCCUGCCCUACCAUGAGGACCAUUGCAAGUAUUUUAAUCUUUCUUAUUUCUUACAUUACACUAUGAAAACUUCAUUGAAAAAUACAUUUCAACUGUAAAGCUGUUUGAAGUAUGACGUUUAAAGUGUAUCUUGAACAAAUGUUGCAGAUCUUCAUUCUGAAUUGGUGAAAACUGUAAGUAUGAGAUGUCAGAAUUUAUACUGUUGUGCUAUUUUAUUGUUACUGAAUGAGGUAGAAACACAUCAGGAUAGGAUCUAGAGGCCAAGUUUAUCCAAAUAUAUGAGGUCAACUCUGAGAAGACUGUUAUGGACUCUGGAAGAACAAUUACAGAAACUGUAAAAGUAUUCUAUCCUUGGAAAAGAAGUACUGGCUUGUAUAGGAGUAAUAGGAAAAAGAUAACGCUGUCUUGUGGCUAUAAAUUCAGCUUCAUAAGGAUCAAUUUCCUUUGCCUAUCCAUGUACAGUUAACAAUGAAAAGACUUAGAGAAGCGCGAAGUAAUAUUUUCUUUUACGUGUGACAUAGAAAACAAAGCAGAACAUAAAAAUGUGACGCUUGAGUGCUUGUUUUCCUCAUUUUUAUUUUCUCCAAAUACUCUAAAUACUCACGGGUACAGUCUUCUACUAUGGAAACUGAUGAAGAAAUCAGAUAUGUAUUUACUGCAGUUUUAGAAAAAUAAUAUAAAUCUACUUGUUUAGUUUGUCUUGUUCAACAGAAAUUACAUGGCGUCCUGACAGCAAAAUAGACUAAUAAUCAUAACAAAUCUAAUUCAUCCCUGUUCUAUUUUGAACUAGAGUGAACUUUCUCUGCAAGACAAGGGAACAACUCACAGAUCUAUUAUUCUGGAAGAAUUAUAGGCAGAAUCAAUACACGUUGCUCAUGACACACAUCAGUGGGUUGUCAUAACAGUGAUUAUAGCUUCUCCAUCAGUAGACAGAGUGAAUACUCAGGCUACUCUGAAAGUUUUUAUCACAUGACAAAACAAAGUGAGUUUUCCAGGCCUACCUCACCCUAUCUUCUUAUUUAAGUAAAUGUAGAAAAAGCUUGCAAUGAACAUUAUAGACCCAUUUACUAUUGUGGCAGUGUCAAGCUAAUAGAUUUUUCAGUAAAUGGCCAGAAGUAAAAGUAGCCUCUAUUGGGUCUGUCUACUUUGGUCAUGACUUUCUGUUUAUUGUUUUCAGCAGAAAAAGAAGCUCAGAAAACUAAUGUCCAGUAACAUAUGACAAUUCAUAUAUUUACAAUUUCAAUAUUUUUCCUGGGGAAAAGAGGAGGCAUUGUACAUACGCAACAAUCAGCACACUAUCCUCUGGCUAACGAAGGACUGAACGCUACAAUAAAGCUUUGAAAGAAAGGUUAGAGGUGGCUAAACUGAAAGGAAAAUCUGGGAAAACAGUCACUUCAAGUUUCUUUUAAAAAUAAAAAGGAGACAUGGUGCAGCAAAACUGAGGGAGAUUUUAAAUCAGGAGGAAAAUGUUGUUCUGUUGUAAGCACUUAGGAUGGAAGUACCAGUCUGAUAGGAUUUGAGUAAACCGUUCAGUGGAAACAGCAAAAAUGAGAAAUGUUAGGUUAGUUUUGCACUACCAAGGAUUGGCAGUGUGCAAGGAGUCUGUGAGAAAACAAAAACCCAUUGUAUGGGAGAAUCAUAGUUUACCUCUCAGUACUGUCUGAAGGAGAAAAGAGCCCUAUAUUUCCAGUGAAUGAUAAAUAAAAAGAUUUUUUUCACUCUGCUUGUGUCUUACCUGCAGCAACUUGGACAUGUUUUAGCACGUCCACCUGUAACUGUAUGCUUUGUGUUACUCCUUCUGGUGUAGGAUGCACAAAAGGAGUAAGAGGAUGAGCAUCCAGCCAAGCCUACAGAAUCACCUGCAUGAGCUAGAAACAGAGACAUCCUCUACUCUGAUCCUAAAGAAUUUGUUAGGGGGAAUUACUUAGUUCUAUGUCAGCUUGUCAGUUUGUUUCUUACUUGGCUACUUAUUUCCUGAAUAUGAAUUCUAGGAUGUCAGUUACUUCUUUAC